rnacentral:misc_RNA from 1 species
UCCCGGUUGGCCCGGGCGGUCUCGUCUGAAAAAUACAACAGACGAUAAGGGUUGCGCUCGUUGCGGGACUUAACCCAACAUCUCACGACACGAGCUGACGACGGCCAUGCAACACCUGUCACUGCGUUCCCGAAGGCACUCCACUAUUUCUAGCGGAUUCGCAGGAUGUCAAGCCUCGGUAAGGUUCUUCGCGUAGCUUCGAAUUAAACCACAUGCUCCACUGCUUGUGCGGAUCCCCGUCAAUUCCUUUGAGUUUUAAGCUUGCGCUCGUACUCCCCAGGCGGGAUGCUUAACGCGUUAGCUUCUCAGCACAGAGGGUCGAUACUCCAUACUAAUAGCAUCCAUCGUUUACGGCGUGGACUAC